GGUUUUGAAUGUGGCAACACGUCACAUGAUCAGAAAAUCUUCCAUGACCUGCAGUAAGAAGGAUGACAGUUCACAGCUAAACAUAAUACUACUUUAAACAUUUGGCUGCAUCUGCUUUGCAGGAAAAUACGAGUAGGAGCAGCUGAUACAUCCCUCCUGUUCUGCCUUUUCUUUGAAGGAGCUGUAACCUGUAAGGAACUCUGUUUCCUAGAGAAUAUGGCAAAACGCUAUUCAUUAG